rnacentral:lncRNA from 1 species
AAAAAUAGAAUUUGGCAGAAUGUGAAAAAUGAAAUGCAAUACAUCCUAAUUUUCUAUAUGAACCAAGAUAUCAUGGAAUAAAUAUUUGAACACUUGUAUAUCAUAUUAGUGAAAGUUUUUGAUAUACCAAUGAUGAUACUUGAUCCUUUGAAAUGAUAUACUUCACUUGAAUCUUUACUCCACUUCAAUUCACUUCAAGUCUUUGACAACUUUUUGAUCUUUUCACAUGAGAAUUGUUUAGAGAUGUUGUAAUCAUCAAAAUCAUCAAGAAGCCAUGACUUCACAAUC